UACGGAAGGCAGCAGUGGGGAAUAUUGCACAAUGGGCGCAAGCCUGAUGCAGCCAUGCCGCGUGUAUGAAAAAGGCCUUCGGGUUGUAAAGUACUUUCAGUCGUGAGGAAGGUGUUAAGGUUAAUAACCUUAGCAAUUGACGUUAGCGACAGAAGAAGCACCGGCUAACUCCGUGCCAGCAGCCGCGGUAAUACGGAGGGUGCGAGCGUUAAUCGGAAUUACUGGGCGUAAAGGGCACGCAGGCGGUUAAUUAAGUUGGAUGUGAAAUCCCCGGGCUUAACCUGGGAAUGGCAUUCAAGACUGGUUAGCUAGAGUCUUGUAGAGGGGGUUAGAAUUCCAUGUGUAGCGGUGAAAUGCGUAGAGAUGUGGAGGAAUACCGGUGGCGAAGGCGGCCCCUGGCAAAGACUGACGCUCAUGUGCGAAAGCGUGGGGAGCAAAC
rnacentral:rRNA from 1 species